rnacentral:tRNA from 1 species
CAGAGAAUAGUUUAAAAUAAAAUAUUAGCUUUGGGAGUUAAUGAUAAGAAAAAGAUUCUUUUCUCUGA